rnacentral:lncRNA from 10 species
ACAAUUGCCUUCCAUGGAGAGCAGCUCUUCAUAAAUAAGAAACCCUUUGAAUCUGCUGCGUACCUUGAUGAGUUUGGAUAUGCAAAAUGGACCCAGAGCAAGAUGUGGAAAGAAAGGCAGGGAAGAGUUGAAUUGCUCCGCAUAACUAAAAAGAAAAAUUGGAAUUUGUCAGGAGAACCCAGGAAGGAUGAGGAUGAGAAAAAAGAGAGAAGGCUGGAGAGAAGAACCAGCAAUUUGAAUGAGGCUGAGGCUCUAUGUGGGGUGCAAUGGCCAGUGAAAAAUCUCAGGGAUGGGAAGGCAGAACUUGGAUGACUAUUUUCAUAUGUGGCUGUGUGCUGUUGCAAUAAGACCGUCUCCAUCCUCCUCUUAAGUCUACUCUAAAAUCUUCUCUGCAAACUUUCAUGAAUAAGUGGGGAUUUUUGUUUGUGUUGGUGAACUCAGGGAAGAGGCUCAAUUUCAGGUAUGAGUCAACAUGGAUUAGAACAACAGAAAGCAUAGAGCCACAAAUUUAAAAAGCAGGAGUUAGAAGCCAGGAGUGAUUACAAGACAGUAAUCCCCAAGGAAUUUGGAGAAAUUGUGAGAUGCUCACAGUGUAUUGAGUUGGUGGUUCAAGCUUAUGUUUUCUAAAUACCAAAUGGGAAAGAAAUUUGGAAUUUGUUGGAAGAAUCCAGGAAGGAUGAGGAUGAGAAAAAGAGAGAAUAAUGAAGAGAAGAACCAGCAAUUUGGAUGAGGCUGGGGCUCUAUGUGGGGUGCAAUGGCCAUGCACAUGUGUGUGAAUGCACACACACACACACACGAGUGGAAAAAAAAAUCUUGAAGAAAAGGCCGAGGGAGAAUAUUUGACCAGCCCAGGUACAGGGGAAACCUCACUAAAAAUGAGCUGCUGCUCCCUGGAAUCUGAGGGCUCUUCUCUAAAGAUAGAGCAGAUAGAGCCUUGGGCAGAUAGAGCCUUGGUUCCUGGCUAGGCAACGAAAAGGCAGCAUCAAGAGAAGAGGCAGCUGCUGGCUGCAAAGGAGUGUGGAUAUGCAGGCCAAGCGCUGUCCACAGUGAAGGAAGUUAACCAGGAGAUUGUGAUCAGAUGAGGUAUGAAUUUCUCUUGAUGGUUCUGUGUUUUAUAUAGAAUAUUUGGAAAUGUCUAAAAAUCAUAGCACCUCAAAGUUGGAAGACAGCUUCCCCCCUAUAAACAGUCACUGUUAAAGCUAUUAAAGAGUGUGAAUGUACAUUAGGAAAAACUGAACCAAGAAAGAGACCCGGGAGGGUUUGAUGGUGGGAAGAACCAAAUUCCUGCCAACCAGAAUAGAAU